UACGGAGGGUGCAAGCGUUGUUCGGAAUUACUGGGCGUAAAGCGUGCGUAGACGGUUAUUUAAGUCGGAUGUGAAAGCCCCGGGCUCAACCCAGGAACUGCACUCGAAACUUCUUUUCUUGAGUGCCGGAGAGGAAAGCGGAAUACCUGGUGUAGAGGUGAAAUUCGUAGAUAUCAGGUGGAACACCAGUGGCGAAGGCGGCUUUCUGGACGGUAACUGACGCUGAGACGCGAAAGCGUGGGGAGCAAACAGG
rnacentral:rRNA from 1 species